rnacentral:lncRNA from 1 species
UGUAAGUAUGUGAGGUGAUGUACAUGUUAGUAUACACUAAAUAUUCUCACACAGGUUGACUUUACAAGAUAUAGAAUUUGUGUAUUACUGAAGAUUACACUUAUCAUUUAGCAAUUAUUAUUUCUUGACAUGUUUUGACUAUUGCCUAUCUGUCUUCCAGGAGCUUACAAAAUAUUGCUUGAGGUUAGGAAGAAAGACGUCCUUUGAAGAUAAAAGGGCAUCUCCAUUUCCGAACUCACUCUCUAAUUUCAUUUUGUCCUGAUCUAGGUUUUAAAGAUAGGAUACAUUCAAAGAUGGGACAAGACCGUGACAUCAUGCUGAGUUUAGUCCUGAAAGUGAAUCAUAGAAAUUCCUGUUUACCAAGAUAUUCCAUAUUAUCUUCAUUUAAUUGGAAAGAAGACUUGAGAAAAAUAUUGAAAAAAAUGUGAAAUUCUGAGGCACAAAAUACUUUUUGACAUCUGAUGUUAUAAACUUACCCUUGUAGUAAAGCUGCGAUACAUCACAAAUGAAACAUUCAAUAUUCUUUCCAGUAAAUAAACAUCAGUGGUAUUUUGGAAAUAU